rnacentral:rRNA from 1 species
AUUGAACGCUGGCGGCAGGCCUAACACAUGCAAGUCGAGCGGUAGAGAGAAGCUUGCUUCUCUUGAGAGCGGCGGACGGGUGAGUAAUGCCUAGGAAUCUGCCUGGUAGUGGGGGAUAACGUUCGGAAACGGACGCUAAUACCGCAUACGUCCUACGGGAGAAAGCAGGGGACCUUCGGGCCUUGCGCUAUCAGAUGAGCCUAGGUCGGAUUAGCUAGUUGGUGGGGUAAUGGCUCACCAAGGCGACGAUCCGUAACUGGUCUGAGAGGAUGAUCAGUCACACUGGAACUGAGACACGGUCCAG